rnacentral:rRNA from 1 species
AGUGAACGCUGGCGGUAGGCCUAACACAUGCAAGUCGAACGGCAGCACAGUAAGAGCUUGCUCUUACGGGUGGCGAGUGGCGGACGGGUGAGGAAUACAUCGGAAUCUACUUUUUCGUGGGGGAUAACGUAGGGAAACUUACGCUAAUACCGCAUACGACCUACGGGUGAAAGCAGGGGAUCUUCGGACCUUGCGCGAUUGAAUGAGCCGAUGUCGGAUUAGCUAGUUGGCGGGGUAAAGGCCCACCAAGGCGACGAUCCGUAGCUGGUCUGAGAGGAUGAUAAGCCACCCUGGAACUGAGAAACGGUCCAGACUCCUACGGGAGGCAGAAGUGGGGAAUAUUGGAAAAUGGGCGCAAGCCUGAUCAAGCCAUACCGCGUGGGUGAAGAAGGCCUUCGGGUUGUAAAGCCCUUUUGUUGGGAAAGAAAAGAAGCAGGUUAAUACCCCGCUGUUCUGACGGGACCCAAAGAAUAAGCACCGGCUAACUUCGU